CCAAUAGCGUAUAUUAAAGUUGUUGCAGUUAAAAAGCUCGUAGUUGAAUUUCGGGAUCAUCAGGUCGGUCGUGCCUCUGGUAUGUACUUGCUUCGAUGGUCCCUCCUUCUUGAAGCACCGUAAUGCCAUUAAUUUGGUGUUGCGGGGAAACAGGACUGCUACUUUGAAAAAAUUAGAGUGUUUAAAGCAGGCAGUGGCUUGAAUACAUUAGCAUGGAAUAAUGAAAUAGGACGUUCGAUCCUAUUUUGUUGGUUUCUAGGAUUUACGUAAUGAUUAAUAGGGAUAGUUGGGGGCAUUAGUAUUCAAUUGUCAGAGGUGAAAUUCUUGGAUUUAUUGAAGACUAACUACUGCGAAAGCAUUUGCCAAGGAUGUUUUCAUUAAUCAAGAACGAAAGUUAGGGGAUCGAAGACGAUCAGAUACCGUCGUAGUCUUAACCAUAAACUAUGCCGACUAGGGAUCGGAUGAUGUUAAUUUUUUAAUGACUCAUUCGGCGCCUUACG
rnacentral:rRNA from 1 species